rnacentral:rRNA from 1 species
GACGAACGCUGGCGGCGUGCCUAAUACAUGCAAGUAGAACGCAGUUGCGAACGGGUGAGUCAAGCGUAGGUGACUGCCUCAUAGCGGGGGGUAACUAUUGGGAACGAUAGCUAAUACCGCAUUCUGUGGUAUGGACCUGCUUUGUAUUAGGUAGUUGGUGAGGUAAAGGCUCACCAAGGCGAAGAUACCGAGCCGAGCUGAGAGGGUGGACGGGCAAAACUGGACUGCGGAACGGCCCAGACGUCCUAGGGAGGCAGCAGGAGGGAAAUUUCGGACAUUGACGGAAGUCCGACCGAGCACAGCCGCGUGAGUGAAGAAGGUUUUCGGAGCGGUAAGCUCUGUUGUUAGAGAAGCGGUAACUAACCAGAAAGGGACGGCUAACUACGUGCCAGCAGCCGCGGUAAUUC